GACGAACGCUGGCGGCGUGCCUAAUACAUGCAAGUAGAACGCUGAAGGAGGAGCUUGCUUCUCCGGAUGAGUUGCGAACGGGUGAGUAACGCGUAGGUAACCUGCCUGGUAGCGGGGGAUAACUAUUGGAAACGAUAGCUAAUACCGCAUAAGAGUAGAUGUUGCAUGACAUUUGCUUAAAAGGUGCAAUUGCAUCACUACCAGAUGGACCUGCGUUGUAUUAGCUAGUUGGUGGGGUAACGGCUCACCAAGGCGACGAUACAUAGCCGACCUGAGAGGGUGGUCGGCCACACUGGGACUGAGACACGGCCCAGACUCCUACGGGAGGCAGCAGUAGGGAAUCUUCGGCAAUGGACGGAAGUCUGACCGAGCAACGCCGCGUGAGUGAAGAAGGUUUUCGGAUCGUAAAGCUCUGUUGUAAGAGAAGAACGAGUGUGAGAGUGGAAAGUUCACACUGUGACGGUAUCUUACCAGAAAGGGACGGCUAACUACGUGCCAGCAGCCGCGGUAAUACGUAGGUCCCGAGCGUUGUCCGGAUUUAUUGGGCGUAAAGCGAGCGCAGGCGGUUAGAUAAGUCUGAAGUUAAAGGCUGUGGCUUAACCAUAGUACGCUUUGGAAACUGUUUAACUUGAGUGCAAGAGGGGAGAGUGGAAUUCCAUGUGUAGCGGUGAAAUGCGUAGAUAUAUGGAGGAACACCGGUGGCGAAAGCGGCUCUCUGGCUUGUAACUGACGCUGAGGCUCGAAGGCGUGGGGAGCAAACAGG
rnacentral:rRNA from 1 species